GGGUUGUGAGGUUAAGCGACUAAGCGUACACGGUGGAUGCCCUGGCAGUCAGAGGCGAUGAAGGACGCGCUAAUCUGCGAUAAGCGUCGGUAAGGUGAUAUGAACCGUUAUAACCGGCGAUUUCCGAAUGGGGAAACCCAGUGUGAUUCGUCACACUAUCAUUAACUGAAUCCAUAGGUUAAUGAGGCGAACCGGGGGAACUGAAACAUCUAAGUACCCCGAGGAAAAGAAAUCAACCGAGAUUCCCCCAGUAGCGGCGAGCGAACGGGGAGCAGCCC
rnacentral:rRNA from 1 species